ACAUUAAACUACAAAAAACUACGAUUAACUACAAAUUUAAUUCAACAGUAUAAUUUGCCAAUCAAAUUUUAGUCAACUGUGACAGUUCCAAAUAAACAUUAUAUUAAACUACAUUAAACUACAAAAAAACUAUAAUUAACGUAAAAUUACUCUCCCCAAACCCCACUUUGUGGGACUAUACUGAGUAGUUGUUGUUGUUAUUUUUAUUGUUCAAGCAGUAAGCAGUGUGUACAAUUUAGUUGAACUCGCAAACAUUAACCUAGAUCCAUCUUUGUGUAUAAUCCUUUCCAAUGGGAAACCUGCAGUCAAUGGCAGAUAUAUGAUCAAAUGCUUCUGGCAAAUAAUUUGGAAUCUGUAUACUACUAAAACUACAAUUAACGUAAAAUUACUCUCCCCAAACCCCAUUUUGUGGGACUAUACUGAGUAGUAGUUGUUGUUGUUUUUAUUGACUCAAGCAGUAAGCAGUGUGUACAAUUUAGUUGAACUCGCAAACAUUAACCUAGAUCCAUCUUUGUGUAUAAUCCUUUCCAAUGGGAAACCUGCAGUCAAUGGCAGAUAUAUGAUCAAAUGCUUCUGGCAAAUAAUUUGGAAUCUGUAUACUACUAGUACAUUUUUAAAUCGCAUAAGACAUUUUAUUUUGAAAAAACUGCCGCCCACAAUCUUAUAUCGGUUGGCACGUGUAAACGGUCAUUUAUGAAGAAUGAUUGUGUUAA
rnacentral:lncRNA from 1 species